AGUGAGGAGCUCCCUGGAGGCGGUCAGCCUCCCUCCUCCCCCCGCUGAGAGCCCGCAGUGGGUGCCGUCUCCAUCCUCACGUCCUCUGCUCACAGGUCACAGGAGAGGGACAGGGCAGUCCGCGCCCACCACACCCCACGGCCUUGGCAGAGCUCCUUCCACUGCACAGAGCUCCCUGGACCAGAAACUGGGCAAAGACAGGUUCCGUUCACUCUGUGUGACCUGGACAAGGCGCUCCAUCUGGCCAGUCCUCACCUUCCGCCUCCACAAAAUAAGGAAAGCAGCCACCACAGAUUCAGAAACAUCAAUGUACAGUGAUUCCUGGGGGAUGAACGCUGUGGAACAUCACUGUGUUUUUAUCGGUGGGUGUUGAGAACCAUGCCUGGGAAACCACGCCUCCCUGUGUGCCGAAAACCUCAGGAAGAAACAGUGCCGCCGCUUUGCUGGCAUUGCCCUCGCUCAAGGGGAGCCCGCCGAGAGCCUCACACGUGUCCCAGCCACUGGCCCGCUGCCUGCCACUCCGAAUGAAACAUCUUUCAACAGAACAGAAAGCAGAUGUUCGACGUUAGUGUAGCCGAUGUCCAGGGGACACACUGGCCACAUGCAGGAGUGAAGGCCUCACCCUCCCCUCUGCGUAGGAAGUGCCAUGGGAAUGGAAAUGGAGAGCUGGGUCCCUGCGAACUGGAAAAAUAGAG